GUGACUAUCUCCUCUGCUACUGGUAUUUUGUCAGCAAUUGGUAUUGGUGACUAUGAGGGAGAUGUGUCCUUUCUCCACAGUAACUGUUCCCCUCAAUGACUAAGGAUCUCAGGAUAGAAGCAAGAUAAGCAGAGGGAAGAGGAAAGAGAGGAAGAGGUUGUGCUUUUCCCAAGGCUUUUAGAUUCAAGAUUUUGUAUUAUCUUCAUCACAAUAAAAAGAAAAAUAAUAAUGAGAUAAUGGUAUCCUGGUUCAGGCCCUCAUCAUCUCAUCCCUGGACUACUACAACAGCCUGACAGUUGUAACAUCUCCCUGCUUCAAGUCUUGCUCCACUCCAACCUAGCUUCCACUCAGCUGUCAAAGUAAUUUUCUAGCAUACAGCUUUCUCAACUGAG
rnacentral:lncRNA from 1 species